GAAAUGCGAUAAGUAAUGUGAAUUGCAGAAUUCAGUGAAUCAUCGAGUCUUUGAACGCACAUUGCGCCCCCUGGCAUUCCGGGGGGCAUGCCUGUCCGAGCGUCAUUGCUGCCCUCAAGCCCGGCUUGUGUGUUGGGCCGCCGUCCCCUCCCGCCUGCCCGCGGGGGGGACGGGCCCGAAAGGCAGCGGCGGCACCGCGUCCGGUCCUCGAGCGUAUGGGGCUUCGUCACCCGCUCCGCAGGCCCGGCCGGUCGCCCGCCGGCGCACCCUUCUUCCUCUCUCCAGGUUGACCUCGGAUCAGGUAGGGAUACCCGCUGAACUUAA
rnacentral:misc_RNA from 1 species